GACAGACAAAACACUUCUGACACCCAUUCUGGGUAGGAUAACACUUAAAUAUGAGGAGGAAAUACAAUGCUGCUCACUCCCCCAAGUGCAAGCUAAUUUUAAAGUUAAUACUAAAGCAUCUACAUUUCUGACAAGUCUAAGAUUUCUGAGACCAGAGCAACAAAAGACAGUCAAAUGCAAACUAAAGCACAGACCUCUCUUAAACCCAGAGAGACAAGAUAAGCCUUUGCUGCCUGGCAGCAUUUCAGAGACAUUAAGUGUAAGAGAGAAG